rnacentral:rRNA from 1 species
UACGAAGGGGGCUAGCGUUGCUCGGAAUCACUGGGCGUAAAGCGCACGUAGGCGGAUUGUUAAGUCAGGGGUGAAAUCCUGGAGCUCAACUCCAGAACUGCCUUUGAUACUGAGAAGCUUGAGUCCGGGAGAGGUGAGUGGAACUGCGAGUGUAGAGGUGAAAUUCGUAGAUAUUCGCAAGAACACCAGUGGCGAAGGCGGGUCUCUGGGCCGAUACUGACGCUGAGGAGCGAAAGCGUGGGGAGCGAACAGG